GGAAAGACUUAUUCUCCUGAGUGGAGCAGGAAAGRAGGUGACAGACUCAUGAAACCAUAUCUGUCUUGUGAUGAAGAGGACACUUUAACRAUCAGUGAUAAUGUGAAGCACUAAAAAGCCUGAAAAGCCCUUGACUAUGUAAGAGGCAGCAUUUCACCGGUUAACUGAAAACUCAUCGCCUUUUCUGUGUGAAUAACUGAGAAAACAUGUGUGGUGUGGUCUCUUCUCUGGAACUGUUCCCUAUUGAUGAAGAAGGACAAGUCCCAGCAACAUGGAAGUGUAAUUUUAAAAUAAAAGCCUUCCUUAUUGAGCA